CAGCAGCCGCGGAAAACGGAGGGUGCAAGCGUUAAUCGGAAUUACUGGGCGUAAAGCGCACGCAGGCGGUUUGUUAAGUCAGAUGUGAAAUCCCCGAGCUUAACUUGGGAACUGCAUUUGAAACUGGCAAGCUAGAGUCUUGUAGAGGGGGGUAGAAUUCCAGGUGUAGCGGUGAAAUGCGUAGAGAUCUGGAGGAAUACCGGUGGCGAAGGCGGCCCCCUGGACAAAGACUGACGCUGAGGAGCGAAAGCGUGGGGAGCGAACAGGAUUAGAGACCCGCGUAGUCCCUGUCUCUUAUACA
rnacentral:rRNA from 1 species